GACGAACCGUGCGAACGUUAUUCGGAAUCAUUGGGCUUAAAGGGCUCGUAGGUGGCCAACUAAGUCAACCGUGAAAUCCCUCGGCUUAACCGGGGAACUGCGUUUGAUACUGGAUGGCUUGAGUUUGGGAGAGGGAUGCGGAAUUCCAGGUGUAGCGGUGAAAUGCGUAGAUAUCUGGAGGAACACCGGUGGCGAAGGCGGCAUCCUGGACCAAUACUGACGCUGAGGAGCGAAAGCUAGGGGAGCAAACGGG
rnacentral:rRNA from 1 species